GCCCUCAGACUUCAGUGGUUAUGGUUUGAGUGGAAAGAUAAGAGCAAGCCAUGGAUUGGUAUGGGAGUGCCGUGCACGGAUGAUGACCGUCAUUUCUUUGCGGCGGCCACUACAGUCACUGUUGGAAAUGGAAGGACAGCAAGGUUCUGGAAUUCAUCUUGGCUAGGAGGAUUGUGCCCUUGUGACAUUGCUCCUGGUCUCUAC
rnacentral:rRNA from 1 species